AUUCAGCUGACGAGUCCCAAAUAGGACGAAAUGCGCAUCCUGGAU
rfam:Schistosoma curassoni strain Dakar, Senegal genome assembly, scaffold: SCTD_contig0001182